rnacentral:lncRNA from 1 species
UCUGCUUGACGAUAGACUAUGCCUCCUAGUAACCUGAGGCGAACCCAGCAUACGCUCAGCCGGCCUGCUGCCUGCUGGCCUCCCCAGCCAAACACGUGGCCAACACCAUUCAUCAACUGGAGAAUUUCACCCAAUGACAAUCUUUCUCCACACGGCAUUCCAGGCACUACUACUAAUCCAGCAACUUUGAAUAGUGAAAUUAGACACUAUAAUAAAUACUGUAAUAAAAUUUAUAUUAAUAUGGUCUCUGUCUCUCUCUGUUUCUCAAAAUAUCUUAAUGUACUGUACUUAACCUAUUUUUGGACCACAGUUGAGGUAACAGAAACUUGGGAAACAUUAGACUCUCAUAAGGAGCAUGCACCCUAGAUCCCUCACAUGCACAGUUCACAGUAGGAUUCGCACUCCUAUGAGAAUCUAAUGGGGCAG